rnacentral:rRNA from 1 species
GGCUAAACCAUGCACCGAAGCUGCGGCAGCGACGCUGAUGCGUUGUUGGGUAGGGGAGCGUUCUGUAAGCCUGUGAAGGUGGCCUGUGAGGGUUGCUGGAGGUAUCAGAAGUGCGAAUGCUGACAUAAGUAACGAUAAAGCGGGUGAAAAGCCCGCUCGCCGGAAGACCAAGGGUUCCUGUCCAACGUUAAUCGGGGCAGGGUGAGUCGACCCCUAAGGCGAGGCCGAAAGGCGUAGUCGAUGGGAAACGGGUUAAUAUUCCCGUACUUGGUGUUACUGCGAAGGGGGGACGGAGAAGGCUAUGUUGGCCGGGCGACGGUUGUCCCGGUUUAAGCGUGUAGGUGUGUGUUCCAGGUAAAUCCGGUUCACUUUAACACUGAGGCGUGAUGACGAGGCACUACGGUGCUGAAGCAACAAAUGCCCUGCUUCCAGGAAAAGCCUCUAAGCAUCAGGUAACAUCAAAUCGUACCCCAAACCGACACAGGUGGUCAGGUAGAGAAUACCAAGGCGCUUGAGAGAACUCGGGUGAAGGAACUAGGCAAAAUGGUGCCGUAACUUCGGGAGAAGGCACGCUGACACGUAGGUGAAGUGAUUUACUCAUGGAGCUGAAGUCAGUCGAAGAUACCAGCUGGCUGCAACUGUUUAUUAAAAACACAGCACUGUGCAAACACGAAAGUGGACGUAUACGGUGUGACGCCUGCCCGGUGCCGGAAGGUUAAUUGAUGGGGUCAGCGCAAGCGAAGCUCCUGAUCGAAGCCCCGGUAAACGGCGGCCGUAACUAUAACGGUCCUAAGGUAGCGAAAUUCCUUGUCGGGUAAGUUCCGACCUGCACGAAUGGCGUAAUGAUGGCCAGGCUGUCUCCACCCGAGACUCAGUGAAAUUGAACUCGCUGUGAAGAUGCAGUGUACCCGCGGCAAGACGGAAAGACCCCGUGAACCUUUACUAUAGCUUGACACUGAACAUUGAGCCUUGAUGUGUAGGAUAGGUGGGAGGCUUUGAAGUGUGGACGCCAGUCUGCAUGGAGCCGGCCUUGAAAUACCACCCUUUAAUGUUUGAUGUUCUAACGUGGACCCGUGAUCCGGGUUGCGGACAGUGUCUGGUGGGUAGUUUGACUGGGGCGGUCUCCUCCUAAAGAGUAACGGAGGAGCACGAAGGUUGGCUAAUCCUGGUCGGACAUCAGGAGGUUAGUGCAAUGGCAUAAGCCAGCUUGACUGCGAGCGUGACGGCGCGAGCAGGUGCGAAAGCAGGUCAUAGUGAUCCGGUGGUUCUGAAUGGAAGGGCCAUCGCUCAACGGAUAAAAGGUACUCCGGGGAUAACAGGCUGAUACCGCCCAAGAGUUCAUAUCGACGGCGGUGUUUGGCACCUCGAUGUCGGCUCAUCACAUCCUGGGGCUGAAGUAGGUCCCAAGGGUAUGGCUGUUCGCCAUUUAAAGUGGUACGCGAGCUGGGUUUAGAACGUCGUGAGACAGUUCGGUCCCUAUCUGCCGUGGGCGCUGGAGAACUGAGGGGGGCUGCUCCUAGUACGAGAGGACCGGAGUGGACGCAUCACUGGUGUUCGGGUUGUCAUGCCAAUGGCACUGCCCGGUAGCUAAAUGCGGAAGAGAUAAGUGCUGAAAGCAUCUAAGCACGAAACUUGCCCCGAGAUGAGUUCUCCCUGAGACUUUAGGUCUCCUGAAGGAACGUUGAAGACGACGACGUUGAUAGGCCGGGUGUGUAAGCGCAGCGAUGCGUUGAGCUAACCGGUACUAAUGAACCGUGAGGCUUAACCUUACA